rnacentral:rRNA from 1 species
CACAGGUGCUGCAUGGCUGUCGUCAGCUCGUGCCGUGAGGUGUUGGGUUCAGUCCCGCAACGAGCGCAACCCUCGCCCUUUGUUGCCAUCGGGUAAAGCCGGGCACUCUAAGGGGACUGCCAGCGACAAGUUGGAGGAAGGAGAGGAUGACGUCAAGUCAUCAUGGCCUUUAUGCCUAGGGCCACACACGUGCAACAAUGGCCGGUACAGACGGAGGCAAUGCCGAGAGGCGGAGCAAACCCGAGAAAACCGGUCCCAGUUCGGAUUGAGGUCUGCAACUCGACCUCAUGAAGUCGGAAUCGCUAGUAAUCGCAUAUCAGAACGAUGCGGUGAAUACGUUCCCGGGCCUUGUACACACCGCCCGUCACACCACGAAAGUUUGUUGUACCCGAAGUCGGUGCCUUAACCUCGCAAGAGGAGAGAGCCGCCCAAGGUAUG